rnacentral:rRNA from 1 species
CGCUGACGAGUGGCGGACGGGUGAGUAAUGUCUGGGAAACUGCCUGAUGGAGGGGGAUAACUACUGGAAACGGUAGCUAAUACCGCAUAACGUCGCAAGACCAAAGAGGGGGACCUUCGGGCCUCUUGCCAUCGGAUGUGCCCAGAUGGGAUUAGCUAGUAGGUGGGGUAACGGCUCACCUAGGCGACGAUCCCUAGCUGGUCUGAGAGGAUGACCAGCCACACUGGAACUGAGACACGGUCCAGACUCCUACGGGAGGCAGCAGUGGGGAAUAUUGCACAAUGGGCGCAAGCCUGAUGCAGCCAUGCCGCGUGUAUGAAGAAGGCCUUCGGGUUGUAAAGUACUUUCAGCGGGGAGGAAGGGAGUAAAGUUAAUACCUUUGCUCAUUGACGUUACCCGCAGAAGAAGCACCGGCUAACUCCGUGCCAGCAGCCGCGGUAAUACGGAGGGUGCAAGCGUUAAUCGGAAUUACUGGGCGUAAAGCGCACGCAGGCGGUUUGUUAAGUCAGAUGUGAAAUCCCCGGGCUCAACCUGGGAACUGCAUCUGAUACUGGCAAGCUUGAGUCUCGUAGAGGGGGGUAGAAUUCCAGGUGUAGCGGUGAAAUGCGUAGAGAUCUGGAGGAAUACCGGUGGCGAAGGCGGCCCCCUGGACGAAGACUGACGCUCAGGUGCGAAAGCGUGGGAGCAAACAGGAUUAGAUACCCUGGUAGUCCACGCCGUAAACGAUGUCGACUUGGAGGUUGUGCCCUUGAGGCGUGGCUUCCGGAGCUAACGCGUUAAGUCGACCGCCUGGGGAGUACGGCCGCAAGGUUAAAA